AGUCCAUGCCGUAAACGAUGCACACUAGACGUUGGCAGUCAAUGGCUGUGAGUGUCGAAGCAAACGCGAUAAGUGUGCCGCCUGGGGAGUACGGUCGCAAGGCUAAAACUCAAAGGAAUUGACGGGGGCCCGCACAAGCAGCGGAGCGUGUGGUUUAAUUCGAGGAUACGCGAAGAACUUUACCUGGGUUUGACAUCAUAAUGGUAGGAUUUAGAGAUAGAUCUGACCCUUCGGGGAGUUAUGACAGGUGCUGCAUGGUUGUCGUCAGCUCGUGCCGUGAGGUGUUUGGUUAAGUCCGCAAACGAGCGCAACCCUCGGCGUUAGUUACAAGUGUCUAGCGCAACUGCCCGUGGCAAACGGGAGGAAGGUGGGGAUGACGUCAAAUCAGCAUGGCCUUUAUAUCCAGGGCUACACACACGCUACAAUGGCACAUACAAUGGGUAGCGAAGCCGUGAGGUGGAGCCAAUCUCGAAAGUGUGUCUCAGUUCGGAUUACAGGCUGCAACUCGCCUGUAUGAAGUCGGAGUUGGUAGUAACCGUGUAUCAGCACGGCACGGUGAAUACGUUCCCGGGCCUUGUACACACCGCCCGUCACGUCAUGGGAGCUGGUUACACCUGAAGUCGGGAAGCCAACCGCAAGGAGGCUCCUGCCGAAGGCAGAACUGGUAACUGGGACGAAGUCGUAACAAGGUAGCUGUAGCGGAAGCUGCGGCUGGAUCACCU
rnacentral:rRNA from 1 species